rnacentral:rRNA from 1 species
UACAGAGGUCUCAAGCGUUGUUCGGAUUCAUUGGGCGUAAAGGGUGCGUAGGUGGCGGGGCAAGUCAGGUGUGAAAUCUCGGGGCUCAACCCCGAAACUGCACUUGAUACUGCCUUGCUCGAGUACUGGAGAGGAGACUGGAAUUUACGGUGUAGCAGUGAAAUGCGUAGAUAUCGUAAGGAAGACCAGUGGCGAAGGCGAGUCUCUGGACAGUUACUGACGCUGAGGCACGAAGGUCAGGGGAGCAAACGGG